CCCAACUAUCCAGAGCAUCAGAGCCCAUGUGACGCCCCCUUUGGAGUCCUCAGCAAAGUUCAGCCUCUUUGCACAGCCCGGACACGAACUGGCGCCAUCCUGUGUGACUGUGUGACUCAUCCUGUGCUCCCAGCAGCAGCACUUUGAACCAGUGACCUUCUGGUUACAAGCCCUGGACUUUAACCACUGGACCACAUUGCCUCCUUUCCAAUGAAAGUUUAUUAACACUCUGUUUCAACAUUUGAUAGACACAUAUACAACAGCCCAGCAAGUGGAUUUGGAUGAUGAGUCGAGAUGGUAAAGAAUAGUAACAGUGUCAGGGUGGUCCACAAUGUUGACUGAAGGGAAGAAGAUUGACAAAACGUCACCUGUCCCAAGAGUAUCAAUUCCCAUUUCUCUUUAUCUCCUCCUACACUUACUGAGAGACUAGGAGAUAAGAAGACAGAGCUUCCUGCCUGUAAAUGCACGUUUUAAUCAAUAGUGUUUAGUGGUGCUGGAAUGGAAAGUAUGGAUAAUGUAUUGAUCUCAGACCCACCCCCUCUCCCAACCAAACAUUUAAGUCGUCACUGGGGAAAGUGACCUCCUUUCAAAUCCCAGCCCAUGUAGCAUUGCAGGGAUGCUCAUUCACAGGCUGUAAACACAAGGGAUAGACAUAUGAGGCCAUCAUACCAGCUAAUGAAUCAUAGCUAGGAAAAGAACAAUGGAGGUUCUUGAGGUAAAGCACUGGUUUCUGCAAGUUGUCUGGUUAUACAUUUUUACAGGGAAAUUCACUAUUUCUCAGAACAUAAGUUCAUGUACUUAUUGGAGGUUAGUGUUAUAAACUACAUUUUGUGGAUGAGCUGGAUGUCCACUGAUUUCAAAUCUUAAGUUGUUCCCUAUAUUAAAAAAAAAUUCAGUUAUAAA